UCUUCAUAACAUUUUAUUUUUAGCGUUGAUCGAGCUAGGCUUCUAUUUGCCUUUGAUUUCGCUUCGUCAUUGAGGUAGUAGGUGGUGUUCGAUUGAUGCCAU
rnacentral:pre_miRNA from 1 species